ACAUCCAGAGAAUUUAGCAGAGAUGCUUUAGUGCCUUCGGGAACUCUGAGACAGGUGCUGCAUGGCUGUCGUCAGCUCGUGUUGUGAAAUGUUGGGUUAAGUCCCGCAACGAGCGCAACCCUUAUCCUUUGUUGCCAGCACGUAAUGGUGGGAACUCAAAGGAGACUGCCGGUGAUAAACCGGAGGAAGGUGGGGAUGACGUCAAGUCAUCAUGGCCCUUACGAGUAGGGCUACACACGUGCUACAAUGGCGCAUACAAAGAGAAGCGACCUCGCGAGAGCAAGCGGACCUCAUAAAGUGCGUCGUAGUCCGGAUUGGAGUCUGCAACUCGACUCCAUGAAGUCGGAAUCGCUAGUAAUCGUAAGUCAGAAUGUUACGGUGAAUACGUUCCCGGGCCUUGUACACACCGCCCGUCACACCAUGGGAGUGGGUUGCAAAAGAAGUAGAUAGCUUAACCUUCGGGAGGGCGUUUACCACUUUGUGAUUCAUGACUGGGGUGAAGUCGUAACAAGGUAAGCGUAGUGCU
rnacentral:rRNA from 1 species